rnacentral:lncRNA from 1 species
UGAGGAUCCCAUGGAUCCAUAAACCUUGAAUGUAUGACUUGUCUAGCACUUUGAUGAGUCCAUUCGCAUAGUGAAAGAAGUGGCCCUUUUCAUAUUUUGAUAUUUUGUAUUUUGUUACCAUUUCUGGCCUCAGUUAUAUAUAUGUAAUUGGAACUCAUAUAUUUUGGUAAGUAAUUUGUAGUAAUUUACUCGCUGCAUACAAUUUUAUCAUGUACUCGUAAUCUAUUUCUAU